rnacentral:rRNA from 1 species
UUCUUGGUCAUUUAGAGGAAGUAAAAGUCGUAACAAGGUUUCCGUAGGUGAACCUGCGGAAGGAUCAUUAAAGAAAUUUAAUAAUUUUGAAAAUGGAUUUUUUUGUUUUGGCAAGAGCAUGAGAGCUUUUACUGGGCAAGAAGACAAGAGAUGGAGAGUCCAGCCGGGCCUGCGCUUAAGUGCGCGGUCUUGCUAGGCUUGUAAGUUUCUUUCUUGCUAUUCCAAACGGUGAGAGAUUUCUGUGCUUUUGUUAUAGGACAAUUAAAACCGUUUCAAUACAACACACUGUGGAGUUUUCAUAUCUUUGCAACUUUUUCUUUGGGCAUUCGAGCAAUCGGGGCCCAGAGGUAACAAACACAAACAAUUUUAUCUAUUCAUUAAAUUUUUGUCAAAAACAAGAAUUUUCGUAACUGGAAAUUUUAAAAUAUUAAAAACUUUCAACAACGGAUCUCUUGGUUCUCGCAUCGAUGAAGAACGCAGCGAAAUGCGAUACGUAAUGUGAAUUGCAGAAUUCCGUGAAUCAUCGAAUCUUUGAACGCACAUUGCGCCCCUUGGUAUUCCAGGGGGCAUGCCUGUUUGAGCGUCAUUUCCUUCUCAAACAUUCUGUUUGGUAGUGAGUGAUACUCUUCGGAGUUAACUUGAAAUUGCUGGCCUUUUCAUUGGAUGUUUUUUUUCCAAAGAGAGGUUUCUCUGCGUGCUUGAGGUAUAAUGCAAGUACGGUCGUUUUAGGUUUUACCAACUGCGGCUAAUCUUUUUUUAUACUGAGCGUAUUGGAACGUUAUCGAUAAGAAGAGAGCGUCUAGGCGAACAAUGUUCUUAAAGUUUGACCUCAAAUCAGGUAGGAGUACCCGCUGAACUUAAGCAUAUCAAUAAGCGGAGGAA